GAUAAACGCUAGCGGCAGGCUUAACACAUGCAAGUCGAGGGGCAGCAUAGAUUGUAGCAAUACAAUUGGUGGCGACCGGCGCACGGGUGCGUAACGCGUAUGCAACCUACCCGUCACAGGGGGAUAAUCCGGAGAAAUCUGGUCUAAUACCCCAUAACAUAUGGAUCGGCAUCGGUUCAUGUUGAAAUUUUCGGAGGUGACGGAUGGGCAUGCGUAGCAUUAGCUUGUUGGUGAGGUAACGGCUCACCAAGGCGGCGAUGCUUAGGGGGACUGAGAGGUUUUCCCCCCACACUGGUACUGAGACACGGACCAGACUCCUACGGGAGGUAGCAGUGAGGAAUAUUGGUCAAUGGGCGCAAGCCUGAACCAGCCAUGCCGCGUGCAGGAUGACGGCUCUAUGAGUUGUAAACUGCUUUUGUACGAGGGUAAAGUGGGUUACGUGUAACCUUUUGAAAGUAUCGUACGAAUAAGGAUCGGCUAACUCCGUGCCAGCCGCCGCGGUAA
rnacentral:rRNA from 1 species